AAAAACAUAACCUUUAGCCAAACAAGUAUUAAAGGCAACGCCUGCCCAGUGAAUAAUUAAACGGCCGCGGUAUCCUAACCGUGCAAAGGUAGCAUAAUCAUUUGUCUAUUAAUUGUAGACCUGUAUGAAAGGCAAAAUGAGAGCCCAACUGUCUCUUAUAACAAAUCAAUUAAACUGAUCUUCUAGUCCAAAAGCUAGAAUAUUAACAUAAGACCAGAAGACCCUGUGAAGCUUUAACUAACCUAUUAAACCCAAUAAUAACUACUUUCGGUUGGGGCGACCUUGGAAUAAAAAAGAACUUCCAACAUAUGACUCCUCAUAUAACAAGGCAAACAAGCCAUACUAGACCCAGUAUUACUGAUAAUUGAAAUAAGUUACUCCAGGGAUAACAGCGCUAUCUUCUUUUAGAGCCCAUAUCAAAAAGAAGGUUUACGACCUCGAUGUUGGAUCAGGAUAUCCUAGUAAUGCAACC
rnacentral:rRNA from 1 species